rnacentral:rRNA from 1 species
CCUACGGGGGGCAGCAGUGGGGGAUAUUGCACAAUGGGCGCAAGCCUGAUGCAGCGACGCCGCGUGAGCGAAGAAGUAUUUCGGUAUGUAAAGCUCUAUCAGCAGGGAAGAAAAUGACGGUACCUGACUAAGAAGCUCCGGCUAAAUACGUGCCAGCAGCCGCGGUAAUACGUAUGGAGCAAGCGUUAUCCGGAUUUACUGGGUGUAAAGGGAGCGUAGGCGGCAUGGUAAGUCUGAUGUGAAAAUUUGGGGCUCAACCCCAAACGUGCAUUGGAAACUGCUAAGCUUGAGUGCCGGAGAGGCAA